rnacentral:rRNA from 1 species
GGAGCGGGAGCCCGGAGAUGGGUACUGAGACAAGGACCCAGGCCCUACGGGGCGCAGCAGUCGCGAAAACUUUGCAAUAAGCGCAAGCUUGACAGGGCUAUCCCGAGUGCCAUCCGCUGAGGAAGGCUUUUACCCAGUCUAGAACGCUGGGGGAAUAAGGAGAGGGCAAGUCUGGUGUCAGCCGCCGCGGUAAUACCAGCUCUCCGAGUGGUGUGGAUGUUUAUUGGGCCUAAAGCAUCCGUAGCUGGCUAGGUCAGUCCCUUGUUAAAUCCACCGAAUUAAUCGUUGGAUUGCGGGGGAUACUGCUUGGCUAGGGGACGAGAGAGGCAGACGGUAUUUUCGGGGUAGGGGUGAAAUCCUAUAAUCCCGGGAAGACCACCAGUGGCGAAGGCUGUCUGCU